GCCUCCUUUCCUCCCACUGAAAGCUGUUCUUGAGCUUUGCCAGGCUCCCAUGGUCUUAAAUACUGCAUGUGCUUUCUUGCAUACACGCUUUUUUGUUCAUGCUAUUCCUUUUGCUUGGAAUACCCUUCCUUGCCUUGAUCACUAGGAGAACUGCAACUCAUCCUUCAAGACCAGUUCAAAUGGCACUGUUACUCAACCCAACAGCAGAUUUAGCUUCUCCUUCAUCUGUCUCCCCUUAGGACUACUUUAUACUAUGUGAGGUGCUGAGGAUCCAGGUGUAAAAGUUCCUAUCUAGUGGGGCAUGCAGGCGAGGCCAUGUGAUUAGUCCUGAGAGAAAGCAUUGUGAGUCAUUUCCAAGCUGCAGUACCUACAAGCCCAUGGGAAGUUCUUCGGUUUCUCUUUCCUCUGCCAUCACAACUAAGGAACCUCAGAUGAAACCUCUUGGGCCCCUGAGUCACUGCAUGGAAGACAAUUGCCUUGUAGAAUCACAAUGGAUUUUGUGUAAAAGAGAAAUAAAUAAAGCAUUGUUUUGUUAAGCCACUG
rnacentral:lncRNA from 1 species